rnacentral:rRNA from 1 species
AGUGAACGCUGGCGGUGGGCCUAACACAUGCAAGUCGAACGGCAGCACAGUAAGAGCUUGCUCUUACGGGUGGCGAGUGGCGGACGGGUGAGGAAUACAUCGGAAUCUACUUUUUCGUGGGGGAUAACGUAGGGAAACUUACGCUAAUACCGCAUACGACCUACGGGUGAAAGCAGGGGAUCUUCGGACCUUGCGCGAUUGAAUGAGCCGAUGUCGGAUUAGCUAGAUGGCGGGGUAAAGGCCCACCAAGGCGACGAUCCGUAGCUGGUCUGAGAGGAUGAUCAGCCACACUGGAACUGAGACACGGUCCAGACUCCUACGGGAGGCAGCAGUGGGGAAUAUUGGACAAUGGGCGCAAGCCUGAUCCAGCCAUACCGCGUGGGUGAAGAAGGCCUUCGGGUUGUAAAGCCCUUUUGUUGGGAAAGAAAAGCAGCAGGUUAAUACCCCGCUGUUCUGACGGUACCCAAAGAAUAAGCACCGGCUAACUUCGUG